GGGCGAUAUACAAAUAUACCAAGAGAAACCAGAUUAUGUACUUGCUGUAAUAUGAAAAGUGUAUAGAUUUAUACAGCUGCAGUUUUUACCAAACUAUUACUAUUCGUGGCCAAAUGGGACAAAACUCAUGUAUUCAUAUCAAACAAAAUCUAGAUCUUUAGAUGGAAAAUUAUGUAAUUACUUGAAAUCUGCCUGGCUGAUUAGAUAACAUCUAAUAAGUUAUUUGUCUAUUGUAAUAUCUUAUAAUAUUGUUUCUCUGUUGUUUAUUAUGUGUCACAAUGUAAAUAUGUGUGUGUUACUAUAGCAUGUAACUACUGCUGUGCAGAUAAAGAAUUCAUUCAUUUGAAAUAAUCAUAGAAUUAAUGAAAAAAACAAGACUUAAAAAAAC
rnacentral:lncRNA from 1 species